rnacentral:tRNA from 1 species
CCUUCGAUAGCUGAGCUGGUAGAGCGGAGGACUGUAGGUUCCCUUGCUAUGGCCAUCCUUAGGUCGCUGGUUCAACUCCGGCUCGAAGGA